UACGUAGGGUGCGAGCGUUGUCCGGAAUUAUUGGGCGUAAAGAGCUUGUAGGCGGUUUGUCGCGUCUGCUGUGAAAAUCCGGGGCUCAACCCCGGACUUGCAGUGGGUACGGGCAGACUAGAGUGUGGUAGGGGAGACUGGAAUUCCUGGUGUAGCGGUGAAAUGCGCAGAUAUCAGGAGGAACACCGAUGGCGAAGGCAGGGUCUCUGGGCCACUACUGACGCUGAGAAGCGAAAGCAUGGGGAGCGAACAGG
rnacentral:rRNA from 1 species